CAUCAACUGAAAAAUUGCUGCAGAACAGAGUGAACAAGACUUCCAAGUUGCCUUUUUGCUUUUGAACUGCUGAUCAUAUCAUUACUAAGGAAGGGAUAAAGCCAUCCACCAAAGGCAUUCUUGCAUAUUAUAAUUUGUAGCCCUUCUGUACAUCAUUUUGGCAAUAAAUAAAUCAAGUUUAAAAAAUAAAAGAA